CUGUGGCCAUGAAGAAGAGGAGAAAAAGAAGAAGAGUAGUUAGAACUGAAGACAAGGACAGUGGUAUUAGAGAUAAGAUAAUGCCA